rnacentral:lncRNA from 1 species
UACGACCUUGGGUCCUCAGACCAACCAGCCUAAGGAACAUCUCACCUAUUUUAAAUCGGACAGGAAUGUCAGGCCUCUGAACCCAAGCUAAGCCAUCAUAUCCCCUGUGACCUGCAUUUAUACAUCCAGAUGGCCUGAAGCAAAUGAAGAUCCACAAAAGAAGUAAAAAUAGCCUUAACUGAUGACAUUCCACCAUUGUCAUCUGCCCUACCCUAACUGAGAAGAUAUAUUCUCCCCCGCCCUUAAGAAGGUACUUUGUAUGCCUAUCCCAAACCUAUAAGAACUAAUGAUAAUCCCAGCGCCCUUUGAUGACUCUUUUUUCUGACUCAGCCCACCUGUACCCAGGUGAAAUAAACAGCCUUGUUGCUCAC